AAACAUAUUUUUUAGGAAUGAUUAAAAAUGAGUCCUGCUCAAUGUAUAAAUAAAUAGCCGCAGUAUUUUGACUGUGCAAAGGUAGCAUAAUAAUUAGUCUUGUAAUUUAAGACUGGAAUGAAAGGAUAAACUAGAGAGUUUCUUUUUUAGCUUUUUCUUUUGAAGUUUACUUUUUAGUAAAAAGGCUAAAAUAUUUCUUUUAGACAAGAAGACCCUAUAAAGCUUUACAUAAAAUAAUUUAAUAAAUUAAAAAUAUGUUUUACUGGGGCGGUGAAAAGAAAAACACUUUUAAUGAUUCUAAAAUUACAUCAUUUUCCUACCCAAAAAUUUUGAAGCUUAAAUAAGUUACUUUAGGGAUAACAGCGUAAUGUGUUUUGAAAGCUCAAAUUGACAAGCAUGUUUGCGACCUCGAUGUUGGAUUAGGUCUCCUCUCUUCCGCAAGAGGAGGAAAAGGGGGUCUGUUCGACCCAUAAAGACCUCCAUGAUCUGA
rnacentral:rRNA from 1 species